UACCACGCUCUCCGAGUGCUAGGGAUGAUUAUUGGGCUUAAAGCGUCCGUAUCUGGCCUUUCUGGUCUCUUGUUAAAUCCAGCGAUUCAAUCGUUGGACUGCUUGAGAUACUGUGAGGCUAGGGGGCGGGAGAAUCCGACGGGAUUUUCGGGGUAGGGGUAAAAUCCUAUAAUCCCGGUAAGACCACCAGUGACGAAGGCGGUCGGUUAGCUCGCGCUCGACAGUGAGGGACGAAAGCUGGGGGAGCGAACCGGAUUAGAUACCCGGGUAGUCCCAGCUGUAAACGAUGCGGGCUAGGUGUUGAAGCGUCCACGACCCGCUUCAGUGCCGCAGGGAAGCCAUUAAGCCCGCCGCCUGGGGAGUACGGCCGCAAGGCUGAAACUUAAAGGAAUUGGCGGGGGAGCACCCCAAGGGGUGAAGCUUGCGGUUUAAUCGGAGUCAACCCCGGAAACCUUACCGGGCGCGACAGCAGAAUGAAAGCCAGAUUGAAGGUCUUGCUGGACGAGCUGAGAGGAGGUCCAUGGCCGUCGCCAGUUCGUGCCGUGAGGUGUCCUCUUAAGUCAGGCAACGAUCGAGACCCACGCCCUCUGUUGCUACAUGAGGAGUUUUCCAAAGGGCACUCUGAGGGUACUGCCGCCGAUAAGGUGGAGGAAGGAGUGGACCACGGCAGGUCAGUAUGCCCCGAAUCGACCGGUCCACACGCGAGCUGCAAUGGCUGGGACAGUGGGUUCCGACCCUGAAAGGGGAAGGCAAUCCCGAAACCCGGCCUCAGUUGGGAUCGAGGGCUGAAACCCGCCCUCGUGAGCAUGGAAUCCCUAGUAAUCGCGCGUCAUCAGCGCGCGGAGAAUACGUCCCUUCUCCU
rnacentral:rRNA from 1 species